GUUUUUAUAGUUUAUUUAAAAUAUAACAUUGAAAAUGUUAAGAAAAUUUUUAUUUAAAGAUA
rnacentral:tRNA from 1 species